rnacentral:tRNA from 5 species
GUUGCAAUAGCUCAGCUGGAUAGAGCAACGGCCUUCUAAGCCGUCGGUCGGGGGUUCGAAUCCCUCUUGCAACGCCA